rnacentral:lncRNA from 1 species
AUCGUCCAUAAAUUACGUCACGCAUUUUUGACAGAUUUUGACCUCCCCUCCCCCUCGUCACAAAUUAAGUUUUGUAUGAGUCGUCACAAAACUACCAACCCCCCCCCCCCUCCUCUCAUAGCGUGACGUAAUUUAUGUACGACCCCUUAUGCGUCGCGCAGUUUUUAUUCAUCACAAGGCGCAGUUUUUAUUCAUCACAAGUUAGCAAAGUGAUUUAAACAAUCUUAAACAUAUUUUUUGUAAUCAAUUCCAUUACAGCUUCUAAUUAAAACACUGCUUCGAUGUAAUGUACUAUUGUAGCUUUGCGAAUUUACAUUAAUUGAAAUCUAAUAAAGUAGCAAGUUAUUUUGCAGCUUGUUACUUUUUUAAAGAUUGAUAAAGUUUCUAUUUGUUUUAUAUAUAGAGAUAUAAAGAGUAUAGAUAUAAAGAAGAAAAGAUAAUUUUAAGUAAAACAAAGGCAGUUUAUUUUCUUCAACAUAAAUGAUUUAGGUAUUGAUGUGGCAAUGAUAACAAGGAAUUAAAUUAUAUAAAAGCGCCUUGUAUAUUGGUAGGAGCAUUCAGUUUGAUUGGCAAUGCUUAAAUUGCAGAUGGUGUAUGGUAGAAAAAGGCAGAUGGUGUAUGGUAGAAAAAGGCAGAUGGUGUAUGGUAGAAAAAAGGCAGAUGGUGUAUGGUAGAAAAAAGGCAGAUAGUGUAUGGUAGAAAAAGGCAGAUAAUGCCAAACUAACAUUAUUGCUCAGAGCAUCCUAUAAAUUUAAAGCUUGCAGAAUGAUUUGAACUAUCUUUCAUUAAAAGCAAAAAAAUGGAAAGCCUGUUAUAAGUUACAUGGCUUGGAUAAAAUGCAAUCCAUAACAAAAAAAGUUUAGUUUACCUAAGCCAAAACCUAUAACUAGAACUAGAAAGUAUUUGUCAACCAUUCUACAGUUGUUCGGCAUAAAUACUUCUGAGCUUUUGUGGCUUACGAGUCAUAUAGAGAUACUAAAGAUGUCCAUCAAAAUUAGUAUCAACAUGGGGAUUCUACUAUAGAAUGCAAAAGUAACAAAAGUUCUUUAUGCUAUGGAUAACGGUGAUGCACGGUGCAUUCAAAAUAAAAAAAAUUGAUCACUUACAAAAUAGUUUGAAAGGAAAUGGUUUGUUUGUUUGUUUUUUGUUUUUUUUACUUUAAAACUUUUUAUCUUUUAUUUCACGUUUUUUUCUGCAUAUAAAUGUUGGUUACCUGGAAUGAAAAUUUUCUUAUAUAAGGUGGGUAUAUGAUGAGCCCGUUUGCAAAACACUAAGCGUGUUUUGCAAAUGGGCUCCUCAUAUUUCUGAGUAAACUCAUUUUUAGAAAACAACAAAAAACUAAACUACCACAUUUGUGCAUCAUCAGAAACUGAUAUUUUAGGACUAAAAUUUUUUUUAUUGGUCUAAUAUUUAAAUUCUUAUUUUUCAGUAUGUAGUAUCUAAUAUUUAAAUUUUCUGGUUUUAGUGUGUAGAAAGUGGAAAUGGAAUAAACUUAAAAUUUUUAUUUUUUUGACUUGAAACGUCUUGCAGAUCAUAUAUUCUGUACUAAAUAUACUGUUUUGUAAAAUAGUUUUUUUGUAUGGUAAGAAAUCUAGUUGUAAAUCUGUUUCUAACUAUUUAGUAUCGUUUUAUGUACAAAUAUGAUAUGAUGAAUAAUAAAGCUUCUAAGGCUAACAGGAUUGGAAAAAUGGGUGUAAAGCAGCUCCCUCAAAUAAUUGUGUUUUAUAGUUUUGAUUUUAAAAACAUUUUUUGACGUUGAUUAAAAAUUAUAACUGUUAUUUUAUGCUUUGGUUAAAAAACUGGUAAAAAAUUUUAUUCAAAUUUAUAAAUUUUGGCUGUUAAGGCCAUUUUUUCUUUAUUUGUUACAGGGAUAUCAAAAGUUAAUGCAGGAGAACGUUCUAGUGUUUGCACUUCUUCGGAUGAAGAUGUCGUGGUUAAGGACAUCCUGCAAUGGUUGAAAGAAAAGGCAUCACUUCGUAAAGCGUUAUCGUUAUAUAUCACGAGAAAGAUUCCUUAUCCACUUCUUGAUGUCAAAAAAAUUAUCGAAUGUAUACCUUGUUUUCAAAAAAGAGGGCAUAAAAUCGUUAAAAACAAAUUGAACAACAAGAUUAGAAAAAGUUAAUUUAUGCAUAUGUGUAAUUUAUAUAAGCAUGUAUUUUUUUUGAAAAGCGACACCUACAAAUAAUAGUGUGUUUUGAAGUUGUUAUUUUGAUAGCAAAAUUAUUAACGUUAAUUGAAUAUUAUAUUAUCAUUUUGUGCAAGUGUAUAUAAAAAGGUC